CCUACGGGUGGCAGCAGUGAGGAAUAUUGGUCAAUGGGCGGGAGCCUGAACCAGCCAAGUCGCGUGAGGGACGACGGUCCUAUGGAUUGUAAACCUCUUUUGUCGGGGAACAAAGGCGUCCACGGGUGGGCGGAUGAGUGUACCCGAAGAAAAAGCAUCGGCUAACUCCGUGCCAGCAGCCGCGGUAAUACGGAGGAUGCGAGCGUUAUCCGGAUUUAUUGGGUUUAAAGGGUGCGUAGGCGGUUUGAUAAGUUAGAGGUGAAAUACCGGUGCUCAACACCGGAACUGCCUCUAAUACUGUUGAACUAGAGAGUAGUUGCGGUAGGCGGAAUGUAUGGUGUAGCGGUGAAAUGCUUAGAGAUCAUACAGAACACCGAUUGCGAAGGCAGCUUACCAAACUAUAUCUGACGUUGAGGCACGAAAGCGUGGGUAGCAAACAGGAUUAGAUACCCCUGUAGUC
rnacentral:rRNA from 1 species